UGCCUAUAAUCAACUCGUGAACAGUGG
rnacentral:piRNA from 1 species